GCCUUUGUAGUUCAAUGGAUAGAACGGCCCUCUCCUAAAGGGCAGAUUCGAGUUCGAUUCUCGACGGAGGUA
rnacentral:tRNA from 1 species